AGCUGACCAACUCCAGCUGCCUUCUACUUGCGUAAAUAUUUCGGUUGAAGGCUGCAAAAUAUUUUCGAGCGGCAACAAUUUGGCAUUUCUGUCCUGGAGAGCUUUUUGGUGGUUAGAGUUACCACAACCCAGCACCUGGACAUGGCUUGAGUAUAAUUUUACUACUCUACUGUUACUCCUGCUUGUCCUCUUUGUAGGUGCAGACUCCCGUGCUUGCUGUCUUGAUCCUGUCCAAUGCCCAAGAUAUCAGGGAGAACCAGAGGCUGAUGCUGGACCCGAGGGUGGAGGUGAGCUAACGGAGGAGCCGCGCUGAAGGAGGAGCCUGGAGAAGGUCCCUCCGGACCCUGGAAUGAGUAUCCACUAAUGGAGCUGGUGACCACUAGGAUCUGAUGGGAGGACUGCGAUGGACCAGUAACAUCUUGGAGACGCUGUGGAGAUCCUGAGUUUGGUUUGGGGGAGACGUCCUUGAGCCGGGGCCUCC
ensembl:lncRNA